rfam:Bacillus sp. B-jedd genome assembly, contig: CONTIG000001
AUUUCUGUAUCGCUGAAAACCGUAUGGUGCGGGGGACCCGUUUUUUGGGGUGAAUCCUUUUUAGGUAGGGCUACUCAUGGCCCGAAUCCGUCAGCUAACCUCGCAAGCGUUAUUGGGAAGGAAG